rnacentral:tRNA from 1 species
GGGCCUAUAGCUCAGCAGGAUAGAGCGACGGUUUCCUAAACCGUAGGUCGCAGGUUCGAAUCCUGUUAGGCCCA